GAAAAUCAUAACCUCCAGGCUUUGAGAAUGGCAACCCCACAAUGAAACCUGCCUGAACAUGUGUCUCCAUCAUUAUUUCAGAUUCUUCUCCUGUGAGGAAACCAAGCCUCUGAGACAACUUUAUUAUUGCUUCCCGGUCAUUGUUUGCGCAUGCAAAAACCAUUCUAAGAUAAUCAUCCACAAAACUUUUGGGGUAGUCACGAGCUGCUCCAAAGUCAAUGAGAUUGAUUACUUUUUCAGACUCAUCAUAGAGGAAAUUGCUCCAGUUAGGAUCAGUCUGCAUGAAGCGAAAAACAAACAACUCCAUCAGAGUAAGCUCGAGCAAUUUCCUUCCAACAUAGUUCCGAGUCUCUUGAUCCAGUAACGUCACCUUGUCAAUUGGAAUUCCAGGAACAAGUUCUGAAGUCAGUACUCGUUUACUUGACAAAUCAUCUAUGACCACCGGCACAUAAAAUCCCUUUGUGCCAGAUAAUAGCAUGCCAAAUCUUUUUUGAUUUUUUGCUUCCAGCUCAUAGUCGCAUUCACGAGAAAG
rnacentral:misc_RNA from 1 species